rnacentral:rRNA from 1 species
UACAGAGGAUGCAAGCGUUAUCCGGAAUGAUUGGGCGUAAAGCGUCUGUAGGUGGCUUUUUAAGUCCGCCGUCAAAUCCCAGGGCUCAACUCUGGACAGGCGGUGGAAACUACCAAGCUGGAGUACGGUAGGGGCAGAGGGAAUUUCCGGUGGAGCGGUGAAAUGCGUAGAGAUCGGGAAGAACACCCGUGGCGAAGGCGGCUCUCUGGGACGGUACUGACGCUGAGACGCGAAAGCGUGGGGAGCAAACAGG